rnacentral:tRNA from 1 species
GUAGUGUUGGUUCAGUGGUAGAAUUCUCAUCUUCCAUGGGAGAGACCAGGGUUAGAUUCCCAGUCAAUGCA